AUGGUCCCCUGGCUAAACCUGGUGUCCUUUUUAGUAGUCCUGCGAGGAGUUCAGUGUGAGGUCCAGUUGGUGGAGUCCGGAGGAGACGUGAGGAGGCCUGGAGAGUCCCUCCGUCUCUCCUGCCAAGCCUCCGGAUUCGACUUCGGGAGCUAUGAAAUGAGCUGGGUGAGACAGGCUCCCGGAAAAGGACUGGAAUGGGUGGCAUACAUACAUCCUUAUUCCAGUACUAUUACCUACUCGGAAAACGUCAAGGGACGCUUCACCACCACCAGGGACAACUCCAAAAGCCAACUCUAUCUGCAAAUGAACAGCCUGAAGCCGGAGGACUCGGCUGUCUAUUACUGUAAUACAGGCAUCUCCUUGGAGAAUUGA